UACAGAGGGUGCAAGCGUUGUCCGGAAUUACUGGGCGUAAAGGGCGCGUAGGCGGCCUGAUAAGUAGGGGGUGAAAUCCCGCGGCUCAACCGCGGGGCUGCCUUCUAGACUGUCAGGCUUGAGCACGGUAGAGGCGAAUGGAAUUCCCGGUGUAGCGGUGGAAUGCGUAGAGAUCGGGAAGAACACCAGUGGCGAAGGCGGUUCGCUGGGCCGUUGCUGACGCUGAGGCGCGACAGCGUGGGGAGCAAACAGGAUUAGAUACCCUGGUAGUCCACGCCGUAAACGAUGGGCACUAGGCGUCGGGGGGAGCGACCCUCCCGGUGCCGUCGCUAACGCUAUAAGUGCCCCGCCUGGGGAGUACGGCCGCAAGGCUGAA
rnacentral:rRNA from 1 species